rnacentral:rRNA from 1 species
CAAGACCUUGCGCUCUUGGAGCGGCCGAUGUCUGAUUAGCUAGUUGGUGAGGUAAUGGCUUACCAAGGCGACGAUCAGUAGCUGGUCUGAGAGGACGACCAGCCACACUGGGACUGAGACACGGCCCAGACUCCUACGGGAGUGCAGCAGUGGGGAAUUUUGGACAAUGGGGGAAACCCUGAUCCAGCCAUGCCGCGUGAGUGAAGAAGGCCUUCGGGUUGUAAAGCUCUUUCAGCCGGAACGAAACGGUCACGGUUAAUACCCGUGACUACUGGCGGUACCGGAAGAAGAAUGCACCGGCUAACUACGUGCCAGCAGCCGCGGUAAUACGUAGGGUGCGAGCGUUAAUCGGAAUUACUGGGCGUAAAGCGUGCGCAGGCGGUUUUGUAAGUCAGAUGUGAAAUCCCCGGGCUUAACCUGGGAACU